UUUCUUCGUUCUUCGCAAGUUGAUCAACAACUGGAAGAUGGAUCGAAAGCUUCUCAUCGUUCUUCUCAUCGCGCUCAUCUGCUUCGCUGACCAGGGAGAGAGUUGGUGGGGUCGUCGUCGUCGUCGUCACUAUUACUAUUAUGGUCGCCGUCGUCGCUGGAACGAACAAAGUGGCGAGAACAUGAAAGAAGAAAUGGGAUUAGCUGAGAACGACAUGCCGACUGAAGAAGAUAUGCCGGAAAUGUAGAUGAAAGGAAUGUAGCUUCAGUGACUCAAUCAGAAGAAAUAUGUUCACUGAAACUAAUUUUCUCGCAUUUAAGCAAUAAAUACAAAAUAAAUGCAAAUAAUAAACUCGUGUAUAACAG